rnacentral:rRNA from 1 species
CAGUCGCCGCGGGAAUACGUGGGUGGCAAGCGUUGUCCGGAAUUAUUGGGCGUAAAGGGCUCGCAGGCGGUUUCUUAAGUCUGAUGUGAAAGCCCCCGGCUCAACCGGGGAGGGUCAUUGGAAACUGGGAAACUUGAGUGCAGAAGAGGAGAGUGGAAUUCCACGUGUAGCGGUGAAAUGCGUAGAGAUGUGGAGGAACACCAGUGGCGAAGGCGACUCUCUGGUCUGUAACUGACGCUGAGGAGCGAAAGCGUGGGGAGCGAACAGGAUUAGAUACCCCAGUAGUCCCUGUCUCUUAUAC